AGUGGACGCUGGCGGUAGGCCUAACACAUGCAAGUCGAACGGCAGCACAGUAAGAGCUUGCUCUUACGGGUGGCGAGUGGCGGACGGGUGAGGAAUACAUCGGAAUCUACUCUUUCGUGGGGGAUAACGUAGGGAAACUUACGCUAAUAUCGCAUACGACCUACGGGUGAAAGCAGGGGAGCUUCGGACCUUGCGCGAUUGAAUGAGCCGAUGUCGGAUUAGCUAGUUGGCGGGGUAAAGGCCGACCAAGGCGGCGAUCCGUAGCUGGUCGGAGAGGAUGAGCAGCCACACUGGAACUGAGACACGGUCCAGACUCCUACGGGAGGCAGCAGUGGGGAAUAUUGGACAAUGGGCGCAAGCCUGAUCCAGCCAUACCGCAUGGGUGAAGGAGGCCUUCGGGUUGUAAAGCCCUUUUGUUGGGAAAGAAAAGCAGCAGGUUAAUACCCCGCUGUUCUGACGGUACCCAAAGAAUAAGCACCGGCUAACUUCGUG
rnacentral:rRNA from 1 species